GACCCGAAAGAUGGUAAUCCAUGCUCAGUUGGGAUGAAGCCAGAGGAAACUCUGGUGAAAGAUUGAAGCACUUCUGAUGUGCAAAUUGAUCAUUGGAACCAGGUAUAGGGGGUGAAAGACCAAUUGGGCCAAAUAUUAGCUGG
rnacentral:ncRNA from 1 species